rnacentral:rRNA from 1 species
AACGAACGCUGGCGGCGUGGAUUAGGCAUGCAAGUCGAACGUGAAGGAACCCUUCGGGUUCUGGAAAGUGGCAAACGGGUGAGUAACGCGUGAGAAACCUACCUUCCAGUUGGGGAUAACACUUCUAACGAGGUGCUAAUACCGAAUACCAUCUUUCCGUCGCAUGGCGGAUUGAUGAAAGGCGGCCUCUGCUUGCAUGCUGUCACUGGAAGAUGGUCUCGCGUCCCAUUAGCUUGUUGGUGGGGUAACGGCCCACCAAGGCGAUGAUGGGUAGCCGGCCUUAGCGGGUGUCCGGCCACACUGGGACUGAGAUACGGCCCAGACUCCUACGGGAGGCUG